CCUAACUCCCCACUUUUUCACUGAGUUGCCCCUUCGUCACUUUGCCGCCACCGCCACUGCCACUGCCUUUAACCUCCGUCUCUUUGCCAUGGCAUCAGAGAAGAAGUUGUCGAACCCAAUGAGGGAGAUUAAAGUUCAAAAGCUCGUCCUCAAUAUAUCCGUCGGUGAAAGCGGUGAUCGUCUAACCCGUGUCGCCAAGACAAGUCUUAGAACAACUCGGUGGUCAAGCCCCGUCUUCUCCAAGGUUAGGUACACUGAGAUCCUUCGGAAUCAGGCGUAAUGAGAAGAUUGCUUGCUACGUGACGGUGAGGGGAGAGAAGGCUAUGCAGCUUCUCGAGAGUAGUUUGAAGGUUAAGGAAUAUGAGCUUUUGAGGAGGAACUUCAGUGAUAUUGGCUGCUUUAAGUUCGGCAUACAGGAGCACAUUGAUCUCGGCAUCAAGAUCGGAGCACACAUGUUCGUGUCUUGCAAUGAUGUUUGGUUUUGGGAUUGGGAGUUGGACUGGUUUUAGGAUUUAUGAAUGCAGUUGCUUUUCCGGUUAAUCGACCUUUGAGACAGUUAAUUGCCCAAGGUGUAUAUUGCUUCGGUUUUCUUGUUAAAGAAUAUGUGUAGCUUGAAAACUGUUUAAUCCUACUUGAAGUCGGUAUUACUUUAUUCAAUCAGU